rnacentral:lncRNA from 1 species
AAUCAAAGUUGUUCAUGCUGUGUUAGCAUUUUUCUUAUUUCUUCAAAAGUUAUGUAACUGUAUCAUAGUCAGAAUUUCAUUCUUUGCAUCAGCAAAUACUUUGGUUUAAAAGCAAGCCUGAAUUUUAAUAUUCAAAAUGAAAUUAAAUGAAAUAGAGAUAUUCCAUACAUCACAAAUAGAAAGCUAGUUCUAUAUUCAUUCAUUCAAUCAGUCAGUCAUUCAACAAAAAUGCCUGUGUUUAUAAUAAGUUCUCACUCUGUGAGCAAUUAAUGUAGGCCAAUGUCAUCAUGCCAGGAGUUUUACAGGCUUAUUACCUCAUUUAAUACCCACAGUAACUGUACAUAGAAGGUACCAUUAUCAAUCCAUUUUAUGAAUGAGAAAACUGAAUAUUAGGGAGAUUGAAUAACUUGCUCAAGUUUGCAGUUAACAGAUGGAAGAGCCCAGACCCUAACCAAGCUCUCUCUCACAGCAAAUUCCAUGUUCUUGACCACCACCAAGACUGCUCGCCAUGUGUUCACCGAGCCUUGUGUAUUGAGACUGACUUGGAACAGAUCUUUCCAAGCCAGUGUAUCAGGCCACUAAAUCUGUCACUAUGGGUUUGCCUAAAUCACUCAGACUAUGUCUAUUUUCACACGAAAUGGCUCUUCUAGUCCUAAUUUAACUUUAGUUUAAAUUAAUAUAAAACAUCAGAAUUUCUGAACUAGAAACAAUGUUAAUAACCAUCUAAAAGGUAGGAGAUGACUCAAAUAAGUGGGGCUCUGGAUUUUACUUCUUUACUUCAGAACAAUCCUACUUUUAUCCAUUUUGUAUAUUGGGAUUCCAGGAGUGAUCUCUUUUGAAGAAAGUUCUGCUGCAUAAAAAUCAAGUGUAAGGAGCAAUGAAUUUUAAUCCAAGCUUCUCAUCUUACAUAUAAGGACACUAAGGCUCUAGGUCACCCUUAAUUUUGACAAGCCCAGUUCUCUGCCUCUGUCUGAUGUUCUUUCUCCUAUAUCACAAUGUACAUGUGCUGUGUUUGUCUUAAAGACCUCAGAGAGCAGAAUCUAUCCAAGUGGUAAAAAUACUGGCAGCCAAGAAUGGGUCUACCUACCACCUGGUAGUUUACAUGCAAAGGGGAAUAAAGGAAGCCAAAUGACUGUAAGUUUCUUGCAUAAUCCACACCAGAAAGCAUUGCCUACAGACUGUAACUGCCCGCUAUUGACUCUGUUGCUUCAUGAUGAAUGCUGGAUGAAACAUCUUCAAAUUCUACCUGAUUUAUGUAUGAUGUCAACAUGACUUAAGGCCUUACGGGAUCAUCCCCAGCACUGUGAAACUGGAGGAAGAAGCAGCAUUCAAGUGAGUGAAUGUGUAUUUGGACUGAGCAAAGGGAAUAUUCUUCAAGAGAGAUUCAAAAGGCUUCUGAACGAGAUGAGUCAUAAAGGACAGCCAAGGCCUUAUCCAGGUGAGCAAUUUCUAGAAGGUGCAGCAAAACCUGGAGGCAUCAGAGAGCAGAACACAACUGCAGAACAGAGGACCCCAAGUGGCAGAGGCAAAGAAGUGAAAUAAUAAUUCAACUUAAAAAAAAUCUGGCCUAAUGACAACUUCAGUGGAUGGAUCACAUUACCUUGAUGCAUUCUUAUCAAUUAUCACAUUCAGUUGAUUUUCAUCAUGGAAUUAGUGGUAUAACCUCAUUGACUUCUGCCAAAGUGUUUGAAUAUAUUCUUUGCUCAAGGAUAGGAAAUGGGAAAAAGAUCCUUUUAAGCUAUGUGUUUAAACUAUCUGUUUAAUUCUUGUUCUUUUACCUCAGUGGUUCAAGUUCAAAGUUUGUCAACAAGUUAUUUGAAUAAAGGGCAAUAAAAAUAGAGAGGUUUAAAAAAAUAAGAUGAGUAUUUUUUCUUAAUUUAUAAACCCACAAGAGAUAAAAAUGGAAAUCAAAGCUCUUGGCAAUAUUCAAAAUAUUUGAAUAUUUAAAAGAAGAACUCAUGCUGUAAGUAGAUUUGGAAGAGCAGGAAAAUAUAUCUGCAAUAGAAAUAUGGCUCUUUGAAAGUUUCAAUUUCUCUCAGUCUACAAUUGCAAUUAUGUUGUUCAAAAGUAAAUGAACUGCAGAAAAUCAGGCAAAUUAAUUGAAAACAAGCUGAGUUCU